rnacentral:rRNA from 1 species
GACAGAGGGUGCAAACGUUGUUCGGAAUUACUGGGCGUAAAGCGCGUGUAGGCGGCUAAGUAAGUCGGGCGUGAAAUCCCACGGCUCAACCGUGGAAGUGCACUCGAAACUGCGUAGCUAGAGUCCUGGAGAGGAAGGUGGAAUGCUUGGUGUAGAGGUGAAAUUCGUAGAUAUCAAGCGGAACACCGGUGGCGAAGGCGGCCUUCUGGACAGUGACUGACGCUGAGACACGAAAGCGUGGGGAGCAAACAGG